UAAUACGUAGGGGGCAAGCGUUGUCCGGAUUUAUUGGGCGUAAAGAGCGUGUAGGCGGCCAGACAGGUCCGUUGUGAAAACUCGAGGCUCAACCUCGAGACGUCGACGGAAACCGUCUGGCUAGAGUCCGGAAGAGGAGUGUGGAAUUCCUGGUGUAGCGGUGAAAUGCGCAGAUAUCAGGAAGAACACCUAUGGCGAAGGCAGCACUCU
rnacentral:rRNA from 1 species